rnacentral:rRNA from 1 species
AUUGAACGCUGGCGGCAGGCCUAACACAUGCAAGUCGAACGAGUGGCGGACGGGUGAGUAAUGUCUGGGAAACUGCCCGAUGGAGGGGGAUAACUACUGGAAACGGUAGCUAAUACCGCAUACCAUCGGAUGUGCCCAGAUGGGAUUAGCUUGUAGGUGAGGUAACGGCUCACCUAGGCGACGAACCCUAGCUGGUCUGAGAGGAGGACCAGCCACACUGGACUUGAGACAGGGGCCAGACUCCUACGUGAGGCGGCAGUGGGGAAAAUGGCAAAAUGGGCGCAAGCCUGAUGCAGCAAUGCGUCGUGUAUGAAGAAGGCCUUCGGGUUGUAAAGUACUUUCAUCGGGGAGGCGUUAUCCGCAGAAGAAGCACCGGCUAACUCCGUGCCAGCAGCCGCGGUAAUAC